UGGUGGGUAGUUUGACUGGGGCGGUCUCCUCCCAAAGAGUAACGGAGGAGCACGAAGGUUAGCUAAUCCUGGUCGGACAUCAGGAGGUUAGUGCAAUGGCAUAAGCUAGCUUGACUGCGAGAGUGACGGCUCGAGCAGGUGCGAAAGCAGGUCAUAGUGAUCCGGUGGUUCUGAAUGGAAGGGCCAUCGCUCAACGGAUAAAAGGUACUCCGGGGAUAACAGGCUGAUACCGCCCAAGAGUUCAUAUCGACGGCGGUGUUUGGCACCUCGAUGUCGGCUCAUCACAUCCUGGGGCUGAAGUAGGUCCCAAGGGUAUGGCUGUUCGCCAUUUAAAGUGGUACGCGAGCUGGGUUUAGAACGUCGUGAGACAGUUCGGUCCCUAUCUGCCGUGGGCGCUGGAGAAUUGAGGGGGGCUGCUCCUAGUACGAGAGGACCGGAGUGGACGCAUCACUGGUGUUCGGGUUGUCAUGCCAAUGGCACUGCCCGGUAGCUAAAUGCGGAAGAGAUAAGUGCUGAAAGCAUCUAAGCACGAAACUUGCCCCGA
rnacentral:rRNA from 1 species